rnacentral:lncRNA from 1 species
AUAUGAAACCUCAAAUUAAAAAAAAAUAUGCAUAUGUUUUUUAAAACUAAAUGGAUAGUUUUCAUUAUACAACUUAUGUACAUAUACUUUAUUCUGAGGAAAAUUCUUUAAUUUGUCCACAUUUAGAAGAAGUUUACUUAUUUUUAAUUGCUUGCUGCCAGGAAGCAAUUUGCCGACAUAUUUUCCGUAUGCAUAGUGACCUAAGCGUGACCCUCCUCGUAAAAAUCCGGUGAUAGCAAUACGCAUGAAUCUGUCAUUAAAAUAAACAAUUACCAGAUUGUAUAUGUUAAACACGUGCUAAAUACCCAUGCUUUUUGUUGAUUAUUUACUAUAAGGUGACAAUCGGUAAACUACGG